CAACUGCAAACGCGCCCUCGAUCUUUAGAAUUUGCUUAAUUCUUCGUAUGUAAAGAAGUUGGUCCCUGGAAUUAAAAUUUUGUGCCUUCGCACAUCUGAAUUCUGAAAUAUGCUCUAAAAUAAGGAAGCGAGUACACCAAGGCAAGAAUUUAGUACGUUUAGCAUUUGACCCAGUACGGAAAGCUCCUGUGCAGUACACGGUCAGUCCGGUCCAGGAUUGAGAUGCUAGUACGUGUGUACUAUAUUUUCAUAUACUCUCGCAGAACUUAUAUGGGUUCCUAGACAAUGCAAUUAUCGAUCAAAAUCUGGGAAGAUGAGGCUUGUGCUCGCGAAUUCUGGGCAGAGAUUGAAGAGAGGAGUGAAGAGCAUUUCGGGUGUCGAUGUUUGAGGUAAAGAGGGGACAGAGCAGAGGCUGGGAAGAGGCAGAGCAUGGAAUGAGUUAUUGACAGAAACAGGGACUGUUUUGGCUCGACCCUGCACUGCCUCUUCCCUGGCCGUCGCCUCUUCCUCUGCUUCUCCUCCUCCCUAUUCAAUGAGUAAGGAAAGAAUUUAUUUGCUUCCUUGUCAUUUUUUAUUUUCACUCUGUUGAUGUUGUCUGUGGGAAUGGAGAUCAGAGAAGCAACAGACAAGAAUGUCGCCACGGGUCGAGAAUCUCCUGAUGCGGCAGCGUUAGACUAUUUGCUGGAGAUGAGGUAAGAUCUCCAUUAAGAUGAACUCUGGACCACAAACGGCAGGCCUCGAAGUCAAGUAAGCCAUCUUUGACUUCCGUUAUGACUUAUGAGCAAAGUAUGUCUGUUCACUGAUCUUGUGAGCUCAAUAUUUACAUCGAUUCUUGCUUGUGAGUUCAAUUGGUACCUUUUCGCAUACUGCGGCAAUUUUAAGAGUGAUGUUAUGUCUGUCAUGGGAUUGACUUGGCACAUCGUUCAUAUCCAAAGCGGCCUACAGAUAAAGAUUGUGCAAAGUUGAUUUUAAAAAUGUGUCGAGAGGAUAUGGUUCUUGAUUUCGGAGCGAGAGUGAAGUCAUGUGGAACCUCGGCCUGGUGUUUGAGAAAGAGCAGCUUCUGCCAAUUGGUCCGACCCUCCUGUCGUCUCAUUUGACUUUUUGGGGUGCAAGGGAGAACGCCGCCAGGCCAGGAGCUUAGUGGACUGCACCAACCAAUUCCCAUGAGCUGUCGAUGAUGAAGAAUUGUUGUUUUAGAAACGUUCUCGUGCGUAUUUUUUUCUUUUGGCAUGGAGACUCUGUACAUUGGUGGACAGAUGAUGAGUUGUUAAAUCAUAGUUUUGAUGCCUCGGGAGCUAAGAAUUCACUCAAAGAAAUAUCAUACACUCUUACUUUGGAAUACGAUGAAUGAAUUCCCACUCA